rnacentral:rRNA from 1 species
UACAGAGGUCUCAAGCGUUGUUCGGAUUCAUUGGGCGUAAAGGGUGUGUAGGUGGCGCCGUAAGUCGGGUGUGAAAUUUCGGAGCUUAACUCCGAAACUGCAUUCGAUACUGCGGUGCUUGAGGACUGGAGAGGAGACUGGAAUUCAUGGUGUAGCAGUGAAAUGCGUAGAGAUCAUGAGGAAGACCAGUGGCGAAGGCGGGUCUCUGGACAGUUCCUGACGCUGAGACACGAAGGCCAGGGGAGCAAACGGG